CAUCAUCCCCACCAACUGUUCGAAGCAAUGCCCAUUCCAUACAUGAAGUGGAACUCCUUAACAUAUCAACCACACUAACUAGUUUCUAGUAUACAAAUCAGAUUGCCAUCUUUCAAUGGCAUUAAACACCUCCUAUAAUCUCUUUUCCUUGCCUUGUCCAUCUCUUUAACUGGUCUUCAUCAAUGCUAGAAAUGAGCACCACAUAUUCUCUUAUGUAUCUUAAUCUCACUUUGCCUGCUCCCAAAAACAAAGACAUUUCUUGCAUUUUAUCCACCAUCUUCAGGUCCUUCAUUCUCCCUAUCCAGUACUAACUCAACCAUUUCAUAUUUCCUU
rnacentral:misc_RNA from 1 species